rnacentral:rRNA from 1 species
CCUACGGGUGGCAGCAGUCGAGAAUCAUUCACAAUGGGGGAAACCCUGAUGGUGCGACGCCGCGUGGGGGAAUGAAGGUCUUCGGAUUGUAAACCCCUGUCAUGUGGGAGUAAAUCAAAAAGAUAGUACCACAAGAGGAAGAGACGGCUAACACUGUGCCAGCAGCCGCGGUAAUACAGAGGUCUCAAGCGUUGUUCGGAAUCACUGGGCGUAAAGCGUGCGUAGGCUGUUUCGUAAGUCGUGUGUGAAAGGUGCGGGCUCAACCCGCGGACGGCACAUGAUACUGCGAGACUAGAGUAAUGGAGGGGGAACCGGAAUUCUCGGUGUAGCAGUGAAAUGCGUAGAUAUCGAGAGGAACACUCGUGGCGAAGGCGGGUUCCUGGACAGUAACUGACGCUGAGGCACGAAGGCCAGGGGAGCGAAAGGGAUUAGAUACCCUAGUAGUC